UACAGAGGUCUCAAGCGUUGUUCGGAUUCAUUGGGCGUAAAGGGGGUGUAGGUGGCGCGCUAAGUCGGGUGUGAAAUUUCGGAGCUUAACUCCGAAACUGCAUUCGAUACUGGCGUGCUUGAGGACUGGAGAGGAGACUGGAAUUUACGGUGUAGCAGUGAAAUGCGUAGAUAUCGUAAGGAAGACCAGUGGCGAAGGCGGGUCUCUGGACAGUUCCUGACACUGAGACACGAAGGCCAGGGGAGCAAACGGG
rnacentral:rRNA from 1 species